AUGGCUCCCAAAGUUGCUGUUGCCAAGAAGGGCGAUGCCAAGGCCCAGGCCGCCAAGGUUGCCAAGGCUGUGAAGUCUGGGUCAAUCAAGAAGACGGCAAAGAAGAUCCGCACUUCUGUGACAUUUCACCGCCCCAAGACCCUGUCCAAGGCCAGGGACCCCAAGUACCCCAGGAUCAGCACCCCUGGGAGGAACAAGCUCGAUCAAUAUCAGAUCCUCAAGUACCCGCUUACCACUGAGUCUGCAAUGAAGAAGAUCGAGGACAACAACACACUCGUCUUCAUCGUCGACCUGAAGGCCGACAAGAAGAAGAUUAAGGCCGCUGUCAAGAAAAUGUACGACAUUCAGGCCAAGAAGGUUAACACCCUCAUCAGGCCUGAUGGCAAGAAGAAGGCGUACGUGAAGCUGACACCAGACUACGAUGCUCUUGAUGUGGCCAACAAGAUCGGCAUCAUAUAA
rnacentral:rRNA from 1 species